ACAUGAGAAACACUCUUUUUUUCUGGAUGUGCACAGAAGGCACUAUUAAAUUUCAAAACUUGAGACCAACAUUGCUUGGAGAGAGUAUGCAGAUUCUAAAUGUGGAGUAGGUUCAUGUUUCAUAUUUUUCUGCAGAUUAGCACCCCUUCUCCACACGAGAAUACUCCAAUCACAGUAAACACACAGCCUGAAAUCACAAAUUUCACUGAAAAUUCACCUGACCCUGCCUUCAACCAGCAUUAGUCCUGGUUCAAUCAUGAGGAAGACAAUAGCUGACACUAUGAUCGUUACGUGCAACAUCAGAUGGACCACACUUGCUUCAUGAAUAUCUGUCAGUAUAUCAUCAGAAACAGCAUACUGUCCUCCAUUGUACUGUUUGAUACCUGGUCAGAAUCAGCAAAUCUAUCACUGUCAAUGAUAAUGGGAGAUGGUAGACAACAAAGACACUGAAUUUUGUCAUAAGUUUGCAUCUGGCAAAUUAAACAGAUCAAUGGUUCUGUAAACAACCAAUAGUACACAUCAGAAGCAAACCUUAAAGCAACUCGCAAAAUGCCUUGUCGAACCUCAACAAUAUUUGGCAACAACACAAUCAGAAAUUAUGAUAAGUGCAGAAUAUCAGGAAUAAGCUUGGGGCAGAGUAAUGUAAAGCUGAUGUACACUCAUCAGAUUCUUAGUAUAUUAAAUACAUAACAUAUUAAAAUGUGCCUGUGAAAGAUAAAGAUCUUAAUUCAAAGAAAGUUUCGUGGCCAGCGGCAUUUUGUUCUUGCCAAUUUUAUAAGCAUUGAAUCUCCAGCUGGCACAAACAAUAAUGGAAAACAUACAUAUAUUGUGCUUUUGUGCAACUGACAUUUAAAUUGUCAAGAUAAUUUGUGCUGGUUCAGUCAAUUCCAUUUGGAUUGGAUUAAUUAGUUGGCAAAGCAAGCAGGAUAUCUAGCCACAGGGUAAAUGUCAAACUUUCAACAAAAGUUGGUUUGUAUGAAUUUAAUUACAAAUGAACAACGCUAUUAGUGGUUGUGUUGAGGUUUCCCUAUAAAUCUAUUUUAAAUGAGUAAAAGUAGGAAGAUGAGACAACUAUGUUAUCAGGAUAUAUUGUCAUUUGAGUUUGAAAUGAUUCUAAUAUGAUAAUAUAUCAUUGCAAGCAUUAAACAUCUGUCUUAAUUUUCAAAUGUGAGUUAUACUCAUGUCAGAGGUUAAAAUCCAGACGUCAGACUCAUGCACUUCUGGUUUAAAUGGAACUAGAACAAGCAGUAUUUGGUUAAAAUGCUUACUGAAAAUGGACUAGCCAUUUCAAUAUUAUAAGGCUGCCUCGACUCAUUGUUGUAGCAGCACAGAGCACUGUAGGUGUGCAGAAUCGUCUGUGAAAGGCACCUACUUUAAUAGGGGCCUGCUGCAAUAAAUGGCAAUAGCCCAAGGACUACUGAAACAGCAAUACAUGAGUAGAUCUGCUCCCUUAGAGUCAAUUCUUGGCAUCAGACUGAGAAACUCAUCAGUCAAAAGCAGUCCCGGCUUCAGUGGGAAGCAUUCUUCGGGAGCCCUGGAACAGAUGUUGGAGAUCAGGGUCUCCAUAAGAAGAAAUUGGCAGGACAAGACUGAGAGAGAUGGAGCUUGGUGGGCAGGGAGCGUUCGAAGUUUAGGAUCAUCUGAUGUUACAAAGUGGGUAUAUGUCAAAUGAUAUGCAUCUGGUGCAGAAAUUAUCAGACAUGGAAAUUAUACCACAUUCCUAGAGUGAUGCAAAAUGACCUGGAACUGGUUGCUUUUAUAUUUUCUAUACAAAACACGUGAUUGAAAUCCCAGGUGAAAUCAGUCUGACCUCCUAAAUGGCAUCUGCUUCACCGUUACCCAACGCCAGAGGUCCUCCAAGACCACCAUUACCCCACCCUUGGAAUAAGGAAGCGUUAGAUGUUCCCCUUUCCCACCACCAUAAUCCAAGGUAAAUUCACGACUGAGAACCUCUCCCAAAGAUGACGCUCGAAGCGCAAUCGGUGCUCCCUCCCUCCUUAAUCUCAUUCGCUCCUCCAAUCCAACGAUCUAUUGUCAUAGACUUUGUAAAUGUUGAGAAGGCUAUCUGCCUGUGUAGUGUAUAUAAUGGUAACUGUAACUUUAAGAACUGAGUACCACAAUGGUAUGAUUUGUGUUAUGUGAUGUAUUCAUUAUCUCAUCAGUAUCGUGAAUAUGUGUGAAUAUGCGCAGUGUACAUUUGCAAAAUAAAGAAUACCCACACAGGCAACAAUGUGUACUGAAAACCUGUGCUUGUUUUUAUCCACAUGCUGAAGCCGUAAUAUCUUACAGCAUGAGAGGUUGAAGCCUGUCAAUCGGAUUGCCUCCGGCAGGAAUUGUACUCUUGCCGUUAAAUACUGCAGGAUGUUCGGUAAAACGAGCUCUAGUUUUCUCGACCUUGCAGUCUUCCCUCUCCUAAUGUUGAAAACCGCCGGCCGACAAAACCCGAGCCAUGUCUAUAAUGUAUACAGAGAUGAAAAUGAUACUGUUGGAAUUUUAAUGUCACCGCCUCCGAUGUGAACCAAUUCCAAUUCUGUCAAGAUAAAAGCCCAGAUAUUACUGAGACUUAACUGCUGUGCCUGUUCUCGUCAUGCAGCUUUCAAAUUAAAGCUUUAAAACAUAAA